AAGAUAAAAGCAUAGAGCACUUAGUUUCGACCUAAAAAUUAAUAGUUAAACCUAUUUUAUCUUA
rnacentral:tRNA from 1 species